rnacentral:rRNA from 1 species
CCUACGGGAGGCAGCAGUGGGGAAUAUUGCACAAUGGGGGAAACCCUGAUGCAGCGAUGCCGCGUGGAGGAAGAAGGUUUUCGGAUUGUAAACUCCUUUUAUCAGGGACGAUAAUGACGGUACCUGAAGAAAAAGCUCCGGCUAACUACGUGCCAGCAGCCGCGGUAAUACGUAGGGAGCGAGCGUUGUCCGGAAUUACUGGGUGUAAAGGGAGCGUAGGCGGGACGGCAAGUCUGGAGUGAAAUGCCGGGGCCCAACCCCGGAACUGCUCUGGAAACUGUGAAGCUGGAGUGCAGGAGAGGUAAGCGGAAUUCCUGGUGUAGCGGUGAAAUGCGUAGAUAUCAGGAGGAACACCGGCGGCGAAGGCGGCUUACUGGACUGUAACUGACGUUGAGGCUCGAAGGCGUGGGGAGCAAACAGGAUUAGAUACCCCGGUAGUC